CGUUGGGGUUAUGCUCUCCAGUGUCGCCCAAGGAUGGGGCCGCGACCGAUCAGGUUGUUGGUGAGGUAAUGGCUCACCAAGCCUUUUACCGGUGCGGGCCGUGGGAGCGGGAGCCCGGAGAUGGGCACUGAGACAAGGGCCCAGGCCCUACGGGGCGCAGCAGUCGCGAAAACUUUGCAAUAAGCGAAAGCUUGACAGGGCUAUCCCGAGUGCCAUCCGCUGAGGAAGGCUUUUACCCAGUCUAGAACGCUGGGGGAAUAAGGAGAGGGCAAGUCUGGUGUCAGCCGCCGCGGUAAUACCAGCUCUCCGAGUGGUGUGGAUGUUUAUUGGGCCUAAAGCAUCCGUAGCUGGCUAGGCUAGUCCCCUGUUAAAUCCACCGAAUUAAUCGUUGGAUUGCGGGGGAUACUGCUUGGCUAGGGGACGAGAGAGGCAGACGGUAUUUCCGGGGUAGGGGUGAAAUCCUAUAAUCCCGGGAAGACCACCAGUGGCGAAGGCUGUCUGCUAGAACGCGCCCGACGGUGAGGGAUGAAAGCUGGGGGAGCGAACCGGAUUAGAUACCCGGGUAGUCCCAGCUGUAAACGAUGCAGACUAGGUGUUUGAACGGCCACGUGCCGUUCUAGUGCCGCAGGGAAGCUGUUAAGUCUGCCGCCUGGGGAGUACGAUCGCAAGAUUGAAACUUAAAG
rnacentral:rRNA from 1 species